GACGAACGCUGGCGGCGCGCUUAACACAUGCAAGUCGAACGGAAAGGCCUGCUUUCCCUUGUGGAUUGCGGGUACUCGAGUGGCGAACGGGUGAGUAACACGUGAGUGAUCUGCCCCCAACUUGGGUAUAAGCCUGGGAAACUGGGUCUAAUUCCCGAUAGGACUGCAGGGUGGUGCCUGUGGUGGAAAACGAUUUUCUAGUGGUUGGGGAUGAGCUCGCGGCCUAUCAGCUUGUUGGUGGGGUAAUGGCCUACCAAGGCGGCGACGGGUAGCCGGCCUGAGAGGGUGGACGGCCACAUUGGGACUGGGAUACGGCCCAGACUCCUACGGGAGGCAGCAGUGGGGAAUAUUGCACAAUGGGCGGAAGCCUGAUGCAGCGACGCCGCGUGGGGGAUGACGGCCCUCGGGUUGUAAACUCCUUUCGACCGCGAGGAAGCCACCUGGUUGGAAGGGUGGUGACGGUAGUGGUAGAAGAAGCACCGGCUAACUACGUG
rnacentral:rRNA from 1 species